AAUCUGAGGGUUUGAUCCUGGCUCAGGGUGAACCCUGGCGGUGUGCCUAACACAUGCAAGUCGUGCGACGAACUCAGGAAAUUCUGCUUUUUAGCAGAAUUUCCUGGGGGAAAGCGGCGGACGGGUGAGUAACACCUGGGUAACCUACCCCCCGAACGGGGAUAACCCGCCGAAAGGCGGGCUAAUACCCGAUACCCUUUUCCGAUGGAAUCAUCGGAAAAGGAAAGCCUGCUUUUGCAGGCGUCGGGGGAUGGGCCUGGGUCCUAUCAGGUAGUUGGUGGGGUAAUGGCCCACCAAGCCGAAGACGGGUAGCUGGUCUGAGAGGACGGCCAGCCACACGGGGAUUGAGAUACGGCCCCGACUCCUACGGGAGGCAGCAGUGGGGAAUCUUGGGCAAUGCCCGAAAGGGUGACCCAGCGACACCGCGUGGGGGAUGAAGGCCUUCGGGCUGUAAACCCCUGUCAGGGAGGAAGAAUCCUCCAUUUGGCGGAUGACGGUACUCCCAGAGGAAGCCCCGGCUAAUCCCGUGCCAGCAGCCGCGGUAAUACGGGAGGGGCAAGGGUUACCCGGAUUUACUGGGUGUAAAGGGUCCGCAGGCGGCCAAGUGUGUCGGACCUGAAAUCCUCUGGCUCAACCAGAGAAUUGGGUCCGAUACUGCUUGGCUCUGGGUCCGGAGGAGGAAAACGGAACUGCCGGUGUAGCGGUGAAAUGUGUGGAUAUCGGCAGGAACGCCAGUGGCGAAGGCGGUUUUCUACUCCGGUACCGACGCUCAGGGACGAAGGCGUGGGGAGCGAUCGGGAUUAGAUACCCCGGUAGUCCACGCAGUAAACGAUGGGUGCUAGGUGUCGGCCCGAUUUUUCGGGUCGGUGCCGAAGCUAACGCGUUAAGCACCCCACCUGGGGACUACGGCCGCAAGGCUAAAACCCAAAGGAAUUGACGGGGGCCCGCACAACCGGUGGAGCAUGUGGUUUAAUUCGAUGAUACGCGAAGAACCUUACCUGGGCUUGACAUGCCGGUAGUAGGACCCCGAAAGGGGGACGAUCCCAUCCUUUUGGAUGGGAAGCCGGCACAGGUGGUGCAUGGCUGUCGUCAGCUCGUGCCGUGAGGUGUUGGGUUAAGUCCCGGAACGAGCGCAACCCCUGCCCGCAGUUACUCGCCCUUUCAAGGGCAGCACUCUGCGGGGACUGCCGUGGAUAACACGGAGGAAGGUGGGGAUGACGUCAAGUCAUCACGCCCCUUAUGCCCAGGGCUACACACGUGCUACAAUGGCCGGUACAAAGGGAUGCGAAGCCGCGAGGCGGAGCAAAUCCCAAAAAGCCGGCCCCAGUUCGGAUCGCAGGCUGCAACCCGCCUGCGUGAAGGCGGAAUCGGUAGUAAUCGCGGGUCAGCCAGACCGCGGUGAAUACGUUCUCGGGCCUUGUACACACCGCCCGUCACGCCAGCUUAGUCGAGGGUACCUGAAGGUCCGCUUUAAAGCGGACCGAAGGUACGCUCGGCAAGGAGGGCGAAGUCGUAACAAGGCAGCCGUACCGGAAGGUGCGGCUGGAUCACCUCCUUUCUAAGG
rnacentral:rRNA from 1 species